UACGUAGGGCAAGCGUUGUCCGGAAUCAUUGGGCGUAAAGCGCGUGUAGGCGGUUUGGUAAGUCCGCUCUGAAAGUCCGGGGCUCAACCCCGGAAGGCGGGUGGAUACUGUCAGACUAGAGUGCGGGAAAGAGGCGAGUGGGAAUUUCCCCGGGUGUAGCGGUGAAAAUGCGUAGAUAUCGAGAGGAACACCUGCGGCGAAGGCGGGGUUUGCUGGGGCUG
rnacentral:rRNA from 1 species